CAUGUUGUAAGAAUUGAUGUCUAAUCCCUCCAACAACCUCUAUGAACCCUUCCAGUCCGGAUUCCGACCACUUCACAGCACCAAAACAGCUCUUGUUAAAGUCACCAACGAUCUCCUCAUUUCUGCAGACUGGUGCC